rnacentral:lncRNA from 1 species
UAGCAGAUGCACCUGGCAUAGAAAAGCCCUGAACUAAUGGAGCACAAGACGAACUUUGAGCUGGAAGGGCAGUAAGUGAUGACUAGCCCUGAUGCCCCACGAUAACUUGGGUGAGCUGGCUGAGCAUGCCUGAAUGGACGACCUCUGCUGUGCUGAAACUGACCUCUCGAAGGAGCACCACCAUAACUGCCAGAUCCCCAAGGCCUCUUGGCCUCUCCUCAACUCGCUCUUGGCAAUGAACUGACUCAAUCACACGAGCAAUGUUAACAACCUCCUCAAAAGAAUCACCAGAUACCCUCGCCCUGGUCAUGAGAAUAUGAAGCUGAAUGUGAUGCCAUCAACGAACCUCCCGAUCCUCUGUCUAUCUAUCGGAACCAAAUAGCAUGACGAGCUAACUCUGAUAACCUCAUCUCAUACUGCAUCACCGUCAAAUAUCCUUAUGCAACCACUUGAGCUGCCUGCGUAGCUCCUUUCUGGGAUACUGCGGAACAUACUUCUCCAAAAAGAGAAUGGAGAACUGAUGCCAGGUAAGGGGUGCUGCACUAACAGGCCUACACCUCUCAUAAGCCUCCAACCAAGUGAAGGAGGCUCCAGAAAAAUAAAUAGUAGUGAAAGCGACCCCGCUGGUAUCCAGAAUACUUGUUGUGCGAAGAAUCCUCUAACAUUUGUUCAAGAAAUCCUGGGCAUCCUCAC